rnacentral:misc_RNA from 1 species
AAGUCGUAACAAGGUUUCCGUAGGUGAACCUGCGGAAGGAUCAUUAAAAGUGAUUGGUUAUACAUUUCAUGUAUCAACUGCAUUAACCCACUCCGAGUACCUUGCCUGUUGCUUCCAUGGGGCCUGACCUAGGUCACUCUUGUGAUGUGAAACCCAAGAGAGUCCCCAUGGGAGGUAAUCAUUAAAUUCAUGUAUCCAAUGUCUUCUGUCUGAACUGUUUAUAACUAAUGUUAAAA